GGAAGGAUCAUUAACGUAUGUUUCCGGGUCGCUCGGUCGCGCCCUGCACCGGCGGAGACGCCGUGUUUGCGGGCCGCCGUCCGUCCCUUCCAACAUUCAACCCCUGUGCACCUUUUGGGAAGGGCCCGUGAGGGCUCGGCCCACUUCACAAACUCUUUAUGUUUUGGAAUGUCUUGCGGACUCUGUCCGUCUAAUGUCUAAACAACUUUCAACAACGGAUCUCUUGGCUCUCGCAUCGAUGAAGAACGCAGCGAAAUGCGAUAAGUAAUGUGAAUUGCAGAAUUCAGUGAAUCAUCGAAUCUUUGAACGCACCUUGCGCCCCUUGGUAUUCCGAGGGGCAUGCCUGUUCGAGUGUCUUGAAUUCCUCACCUCCCCCCGGGUUUUUGCGGCUCGGUGGGUACGGUGGACUUGGGGGCUCUGCCGCGGCUUUCUGCUCGCGGCUCCCCUCGAAAGCAUCGGUGGGGUCCGCGGUCGUCCCGGGCGUUGUAUUGUCCUCGUCCGACACGGUCGUCCGCGUCCCUUCCCCGACCUGCCGUAGUGCGGCGGUCAAGCACACUUUGAAAUCUGACCUCGAAUCAGGUAGGACUACCCGCUGAACUUAAGCAUAUCAAUAAGCGGAGGAAAAGAAACUAACAAGGAUUCCCCUAGUAACUGCGAGUGAAGCGGGAAGAGCUCAAAUUUGAAAUCUGACGGUUCCGCCGUCCGAGUUGUAAUCUGGAGAAGCGUUUUCCGUGCCGGACCGUGUACAAGUCCCUUGGAACAGGGCGUCAUAGAGGGUGAGAAUCCCGUCUUUGACACGGACUCCCGGUGCUCUGCGAUGCGCUCUCGAAGAGUCGGGUUGUUUGGGAAUGCAGCCCAAAAUGGGUGGUAAACUCCAUCUAAAGCUAAAUAUUGGCGAGAGACCGAUAGCGAACAAGUACCGUGAGGGAAAGAUGAAAAGCACUUUGGAAAGAGAGUAAAACAGUACGUGAAAUUGUUGAAAGGGAAACGCUUGGAGUCAGUCGCGCCUUCCGGAACUCAGCCGGGCUUCUGCCCGGUGCACUUUCCGGUUCGGCGGGUCAGCAUCGGCUUUGGAGGGCGGACAAAGGCGCGGGGAAGGUGGCAGCUCCGGCUGUGUUAUAGCCCCGCGUUGUACGCGUCCUCCGGGACCGAGGAAUCCGGCGCUCGUCGCCCGGGAUGCUGGCGUAAUGGCUCUAAACGACCCGUCUUGAAACACGGACCAAGGAGUGCUACGUGCUCGCGAGUGUUUGGGUGGAAAACCCGAGCGCGCAAUGAAAGUGAAAGUCGAUACCCUUUGCGGGGGCACCGACGCCCGGGCCAGAAGUUUACGGACGGCCCUGCGGUGGAGCGAGUAUGUUGCGACCCGAAAGAUGGUGAACUAUUCCUGAGGAGGGCGAAGCCAGAGGAAACUCUGGUGGAGGCUCGUAGCGGUUCUGACGUGCAAAUCGAUCGCAGGACUUGGGUAUAGGGGCGAAAGACUAAUCGAACCAUCUAGUAGCUGGUUCCUGC
rnacentral:misc_RNA from 1 species